rnacentral:lncRNA from 1 species
ACUCGUUCUGAUUUUCUUUCUGAAUAAAUGUGUGUUGCAUAUCAUUUUUUAUAAGUAAUUAGUUGCUCUUAUGAUCAGAAGGCCAAAUAUUAUUCUAAAGACACUAAUAGAUCUGGAUGAAUUUAAGAUUCUGUAUCAAUGUAUACUCUGCAUUUGAAGCAAAGUGAAAACAUGCACGGUAAAGGAAACCACUUUUCUAGUCUGCAUUUUGUUCAAAUGGAACUCUGGUGAGAUGUGUUUUCAUUUUGAAGAGGAUUUCUUGAGACGUGAUGAGAGGUGGGAUUGGGGAAGGAUUCAUUAUAUUUAUCCUCUCCUCCUUAUAAAUUUUCCCACAGGACUUGCCCCAUAUGAACAUGCAUUAUUAUGAAGGAAUGUAGUUGCAGCUUUUAACAUUAAGAAAAUGUCCUCAUGUGUUUGCCAACACACACUAAUUUGAUCUUGAAAGCUGAAUUCCUUUAAAAAUGAAUAAUGCAUAAGUAUGUGUAUAAAAUUAAAUAAAGGAUUUUACCAUGUAAAGUAGCAAACUGUUGAAUGAGUUUCAAGUCAUCAUUUCUUUGCAUGUUGUUUUAGCUUUAGAAAGACAUGCGUUAUAGAAACAAGUAAUAGCAAAAAAUUGAUGUAUAUUUAUUGAUUCAAUUCCCUUUAAAUCUUACUAGUUUGUUACUAUUUUAUCCAUAUUUUUAAUGGCUUGUUCAGCAUAACACAGUUAUAAUUAAGCUGAUCAAGUUGUACUACAUUUAAAUCAUCAGCAGUGUAUCUUGAAAGUGCUUAAAGGGUUAGUUCAUAGUACAAGAAAUUAAAUGCAACUUUACAUUUUAAUUUUUUGUCAAUUAAAAUACAAUGUAGAAGUUUAUUUUACUAUUGUGGACACAAAAUGUAAAGGAAACCAACUUUUUCCAUACUGAUGUAUAAUCUUGAAAAGGAAAAAAAAAAAAAGCUUCUCUGUUGAAGCCAGACUUUGUGUAGUAAAACUUUUAAACAUUAUUUUAAAAGAAAUAUGUAUAUAAGUAUCUGUGUAUUCUUUGGAAUGAUUCUGAAGUCUCUGGUCUAGGACCAUGCCUGUAUAAGGUGUGAGAGACCAUGAUGGUGUGUGAGAAUGGAAUAAAUGAUGCCUUUGAUUUAAGGUGGCCCAUAUAAUAUACAUUGAGUACUCCAUGUCUCCAAAUGGAUUUCCAUGAUGUAAUGAAAACACACUAACCUUUUUAUGAUUUUUAUACAUCUGCCAAAAUAUACUGAGAAUCUGAUAAAUUGUCUUUGGGUCUCUGAAAAGAAUCAGGUGCAAUGUGGGCAGGCCUGUAAACUGAACCAGAUAUGUGUCUUCUAUUUUAUUGCUCUUGUAAUCUAAUGUAAAGAAUUGCUAACUAAGGCUGUGCUGAGGAGGUCAAAUUAAUUUUUAUUUGUUUAGAAUUCUGUUGUCAAAAGAAAGGUAAUGAAUAAAUGAUGCUCAUCCUAGAAUGUAUAAUUUUGAAAUUAGUAUGGAGUAAAAUGUGAGAGCGUUGAGCUUUAUCAGCUACACUUGCAUUCAAGUCAUAUUGUAAGAGUUUGGAGAUGUAUGCUCUUUGUAAUUUGCUACAGUGUUUUUAGUUCUGAUUAUAUUUUUCAUAUAGAUUAUUCAAUAGGACAACUCUGUUAAAUAAAUUAAUUUCAUUCACCUCAUUUGGCAAAACUGUAUUCUGAACCAUUUAGGGUUUUUCCCUUAUCUUUCCUUCUCUGAACUCUGGCAUACAUAUUUGUACACUGUAAUGUCAUUGUAACUGUUUAAUUGCCUUGGCAAUGCUAAUGUAUCGUAACACUUAGUUGAGAAAAGCAUGACCGGGUCAUAUGUUGUUUGACUUAAGGGUAACAUAGAAUAAGUGUUUCUCCAGUCUGCCAGACAAAGCUUGGUAGUGGGAGGGGACUCUGACCUCUCCCUUUUGUGUUUGUCUAUAGGAAUUGAUUGGGAAACUUUUGUUUUGUGUUUUUUGUUUGUUUGUUUGAAGUGUAAACUGAUACUCUUUUAUAAGAAGUAAAUACAAACAUUAUUGGGUGCCUUUGUUUGUAAACCAAAAAGUAAUAAAUGAAUCCCUAUAUUUCU